rnacentral:rRNA from 1 species
AGUGAACGCUGGCGGUAGGCCUAACACAUGCAAGUCGAACGGCAGCACAGUAAGAGCUUGCUCUUACGGGUGGCGAGUGGCGGACGGGUGAGGAAUACAUCGGAAUCUACUUUUUCGUGGGGGAUAACGUAGGGAAACUUACGCUAAUACCGCAUACGACCUACGGGUGAAAGCAGGGGAUCUUCGGACCUUGCGCGAUUGAAUGAGCCGAUGUCGGAUUAGCUAGUUGGCGGGGUAAAGGCCCACCAAGGCGACGAUCCGUAGCUGGUCUGAGAGGAUGAUCGGCCACACGGGAACUGAGACACGGUCCAGACUCCUACGGGAGGCAGCAGUGGGGAAUAUUGGACAAAGGGCGCAAGCCUGAUCCAGCCAUACCGCGUGGGUGAAGAAGGCCUUCGGGUUGUAAAGCCCUUUUGUUGGGAAAGAAAAGCAGCAGGUUAAUACCCCGCUGUUCUGACGGUACCCAAAGAAUAAGCACCGGCUAACUUCGUG